UCGCAUGUUGCGGCCCUUGGGCCGAAAUUCCAUCUCUCUCUCUGCUGUGGGGAGUGUGGAAGUGUUCUUAACAUGCUAUAGUAACCGGAGUUAUCAGGGCCACCAGUCUCUAAAGUACAGGCUGAGUCGGUAGUAUAAAACUCCAACACCG